rnacentral:lncRNA from 1 species
UUAAGAAAGUUCAAAUUUUUGUGUCUCUUUUUUAAUAUGUUUUGUUGGAAAAAUAUUUUAAAAAAUUAUUUAUACUCUAAUUUUGAAGCAAUCACAACACUGUAUGGGACAUUAAGAACCAAUUAUUUAUGCCUUUCUCUUUCUUCUUUUGCCAUGUUCUUUUUCUUCUUCUACUCUUUCUCUUUCCUUUUCUUUAUUUCUUAUUCUUUCUUCCUUCUUCUAUCUUAUUCUUUUUUUUAUAUAUAUAAAUAUAUAGUGUAUUGCCCUCUUAUUUAUUUCUCUUUCUUAUUUUUCUCUUUUCUUUUUUCGUCUUUCUCACUCUCCAGUUAUUUUUUCUUCUUAUCUUUCUCUUUGAUAUUCUUUCUUUCUAAUUCAUUCUUUCUUCUCAUCUUUUCUAUGGUUUUUUAAAUAUGUAAUUUACUUCUCUCAUAACCACUUGGCAAAGCAUUUGGAUAGUCUCAUUCCUAGUGGUUAUCUGCAUUCAGGACAAACUCUUUUUUUGUUGUUGCUAAACACAAGAAUAUUGAAUUUUUAUUCAAUGUAGGAUCACGUCUUUAUUUGUACACUAAUUUAUCUUUUAAAAAACAAUAUAAACAUAUAACAUAAAUUAUUUGAGUAAAUGAUAAACUAGAAGGUUGGUUGUAUAGAACUCCACUCAGUUCCACAUGACGUACCAGUUGAUAGUGUAGUAUAGGAGGAGUAGUUUGAUGGGUUUUAUAGUAUUGCUUCUAAAUUAUAUGGAAGAAACAUAUAAACACGUUAAACCAAAACUAAAAGUACUGUAAAUAAUGCUAAUAUUAGAUCCUUAACGGCAAUUCCAUUAUAUGAAUUUUGCAUAUUUCCUAGAAUUAAAAUCGUCUCUUUCAAUAUACAAUAAUAUACUUUUUAAUAUAGAAAAUCUGUAGUAAAGAUUUGGAUACAUAAUUUGUGUAUGAAUAACUUAAAUCUGUUUUUUACAACAACGACCGCAACAAAAAUCAAACUCCAUAUAACUUGGUCAUAAUGACUCUGAUAGAAUGUAAUCAUGAACUAACUUUAUAUCAUAACACUAACAUCUUCAACACUAAGAAACAUGUGAUUCAAAUAAGUGAAAUAGCUUUCAUAUUCCAAUAAAUAGUGAAAUAAGUAUUAAUAAUAUUUAUAAUAAACAUUUAUAUUUUAGAAAUGCAUUUACAAAUAAAGUCAUCUAUUUUUUCUAAUAGUUGCAAUAAUUAAACCUAAAUUUAGAAGACAUUCAAUAAGAUAGAUUUUUGAAAUGGUUAUGCAUUUCCAAUUAUUUAAUUUGUGAGUAUCGUUGUAACCUUUUCUGUAUGAAUAUUAUUUCUCUAUAUACAUCCACAAUUAACCAUUUCAUUUUUCGUAAGGAUAAUUAUAUUUUUAAGUGAAAUUAAAAAUUUCAAGAGUAUUAUUAAAAAAAAAAUGUAAAUUGAUAGUAAGUAGUUUUUUUUUGUAAGGGGUAAAUUAAAGUGCACAUCAUGGUAUCUUUCAACCAUGUAUUUUUCUCUGAAGAACUUGAUCAUUUAUCAAUCCAACAUACUCUUAUUUCUUCCUUCAUAAUUAUUUAGUUAACAUACUUUUUAUGUUUUACUUCGAAGUUUUAAAAUAAACUCCAAAAGUAUAAAAAUAUUGUCCAGCGUAAAAUUAACAAAGUCAAUAUACAUGGUUUUAAAGGGAGUUUACAAAUUUUCGACACCCGUGCAUUGCACGGGUCUCAACCUAGUUGCUUAUUUUAUUUAACGACAUAUAGAAACACGCAGGCACAUACUUUUCUUAUUAUAUAAUUCCUCUGUAAUUGUUUAUAAUGGAAGGUAAAUAUCUCACACUUAUUAAGAAAGUUCAAAUUUUUCUGUCUCUUUUUUAUUAUGUUUUGUUGGAAAAAUAUUUUAAAAAAUUAUUUAUACUCUAAUUUUGAAGCAAUCACAAUACUGAAUGGGACAUUAAGAACCAAUUAUUUAUGCCUUUCUCUUUCUUCUUUUGUCAUGUUCUUUUUCUUCUUCUACUCUUUCUCUUUCCUUUUCUUUAUUUCUUAUUCUUUCUUCCUUCUUCUAUGUUAUUCUUUUUUUUAUAUAUAUAUAAAUAUAUAGUGUAUUGCCCUCUUAUUUAUUUCUCUUUCUUAUUUUUCUCUUUUCUUUUUUCUUCUUUCUCACUCUCCAGUUAUUUUUUCUUCUUAUCUUUCUCUUUGAUAUUCUUUCUUUCUAAUUCAUUCUUUCCUCUUUCUCUUUUCUAUGGUUUUCUAAAUAUGUAAUUUACUUCUCUCAUAACCACUUGGCAAAGCAUUUGGAUAGUCUCAUUCCUAGUGGUUAUCUGCAUUCGGUACAAACUCUUUUUUUGUUUUGUUGCUAAACACAAGAAUAUUGAAUUUUUAUUCAAUGUAGGAUCACGUCUUUAUUUGUACACUAAUUUAUCUUUUAAAAAACAAUAUAAACAUAUAACAUAAAUUAUUUGAGUAAAUGAUAAACUAGAAGGUUGGUUGUAUAGAACUCCACUCAGUUCCACAUGACGUACCAGUUGAUAGUGUAGUAUAGGAGGAGUAGUUUGAUGGGUUUUAUAGUAUUGCUUCUAAAUUAUAUGGAGGAAACGUAUAAACAAGUUAAACCAAAAUUAAAAGUACCGUAAAUAAUGCUAAUAUUAG